rnacentral:rRNA from 1 species
GAUGAACGCUAGCGGCAGGCUUAAUACAUGCAAGUCGAGGGCCCAGCAAUGGGACCGGCGCACGGGUGCGUAACGCGUAGGAAUCUGCCUGUUAGUGGGGGACAACUUAGGGAAACUUAAGCUAAUACCGCAUACGCCCUACGGGGGAAAGAGGGGAUCUUCGGACCUUUCGCUAACAGAUGAGCCUGCGUAGGAUUAGCUAGUUGGUAGGGUAAAAGCCUACCAAGGCGACGAUCCUUAGCUGUUCUGAGAGGAAGAUCAGCCACACUGGGACUGAGACACGGCCCAGACUCCUACGGGAGGCAGCAGUGGGGAAUAUUGCGCAAUGGGCGAAAGCCUGACGCAGCGACGCCGCGUGAGGGAUGAAGGUCUUCGGAUUGUAAACCUCUUUCAGCAGGGACGAAGCGAAAGUGACGGUACCUGAAGAAGAAGCACCGGCUAACUACGUG